AUUGAACGCUGGCGGCAGGCCUAACACAUGCAAGUCGAGCGGAUGAAGGGAGCUUGCUCCUGGAUUCAGCGGCGGACGGGUGAGUAAUGCCUAGGAAUCUGCCUGGUAGUGGGGGAUAACGUCCGGAAACGGGCGCUAAUACCGCAUACGUCCUGAGGGAGAAAGUGGGGGAUCUUCGGACCUCACGCUAUCAGGUGAGCCUAGGUCGGAUUAGCUAGUUGGUGGGGUAAAGGCCUACCAAGGCGACCAUCCGUAACUGGUCUGAGAGGAUGAUCAGCCACACUGGAACUUGGACACGGUCCAGAGUCCUACGGGAGGCAGCAGUGGGGAAUAUUGGACAGUGGGCGAAAGCCUGAUCCAGCCAUGCCGCGUGUGUUAAGAAGGUCUUCGGAUUGUAAAGCACUUUAAGUUGGGAGGAAGGGCAGUAAGUUAAUACCUUGCUGUUUUGACGGUACCAACAGAAUAAGCACCGGCUAACUUCGUG
rnacentral:rRNA from 1 species